rnacentral:rRNA from 1 species
AGAGUUUGAUUAUGGCUCAGGACGAACGCUGGCGGCGUGCCUAACACAUGCAAGUCGAACGGGCCUGGGGGGCAACUCUCAGGUCAGUGGCGGACGGGUGCGUAACACGUGAGCAACAUGUCCGAUGGUGGGGGAUAGCCGGCCUAACGGCCGGGUAAUACCGCAUGCGGUCACCGGGGGCAUCCCUGGUGACGAAAGUGGGGGCAACCUCACGCCGACGGAGUGGCUCGCGGCCUAUCAGCUAGUUGGUGGGGUCACGGCUCACCAAGGCUACGACGGGUAGCUGGUCUGAGAGGAUGACCAGCCACAUUGGGACUGAGACACGGCCCAGACUCCUACGGGAGGCAGCAGUGGGGAAUAUUGCGCAAUGGGCGAAUGCCUGACGCAGCGACGCCGCGUGUGGGAUGAAGGUCCUCGGAUUGUAAACCCCUGUCAGGGGGGACGAAAGCUUGGCGGUUAACAGCCGCCGAGCCUGACGGUACCUCCAAAGGAAGCCCCGGCUAACUCCGUGCCAGCAGCCGCGGUAAUACGGGGGGGGCAAGCGUUAUUCGGAAUUACUGGGCGUNNNGCGCGCGCAGGUGGCAUGGUAAGUGNCAGGUGA